CGUACAUUCAGCUGUUCGGUAACUUGUUCUGCGCGUAUAAAUUGUAUUAGUUUUAGUGUUUAAUAUAUUUAACGAUUUCAUCAUUAUUUUCACCAUAUAUUUCUAAAAUGUUGCGCAAUCUAACUCGUCGCUUUGAUUGCGCGCUCAGACUGCAGCGGCAAACAUAUCCACACGCAGUGCGCUUGCUUCAAACCACAGAUGUCAGCCGCGCGCUUUUUACACAAUACGCCUGCGAGAGUCGCUUGAACAAAAAGCAGCCCACACUGGCCACCGCCGCAGCCGGCAUCAGGAACCAUGCGACGCCCACAGCCAGUGAGGCGGACAAUGAGUAUGUGCCGUAUCGCACAGAGCUGGAGAGCGGCAGUCGCGCCAGUGCUGUAAUAGCGGCGAUACGCGAACGUUUUCGGCUCACCGAAGGCGAAGCGCAGCGCAUUCUGAGCGAUGAGCAAGUGCGUCGCAGCUAUCGCAAUCGCUGCCUGACAAAUGCGCUGGACAGGCUGCUGCUGGAGGGCGUGAGCAAGAAAAGCUUUUUGGAAUAUCCCUGGCUGUUGGGGCUCGAUCGGCAGCGUCUGGAACUUAAGCUGGAGCUGAUCAAAUCGAUGCACAUGCUCGACAUCAAUCACUUCGUGCCCUUUUUGCGUCUUACAGUGCCACGCCUACGCAAGCUGGUGGGCACCUUGAAUGCCGAGACCAACGAAUACCCGCAAAAGAAUCGCGUUUACUAUAUCAGCGAAAAGCUGGGCGUCAGCCCCGAGAUCGUCACAAAAUAUUUGUCGAAGCGACUCUUCAUACUGGAAAUGCCAUAUGAGAUGUUCGAGAAGAAUCUGGAGCACAUGAUCAACUAUAAUGUUUCACCCAUUAACAUACUGCGUGAUCUGUGGGCCUUUCGCUAUGCUCCCAAGGCUGUGGAGCUGCGCCUGGAGCGCGCCCAACGUGCGAAAAAGGAUAAGAUAAUGCCUUGGAUGGUGCGUUGCCCGGAACCUAUACUGCAACGCUCUCUAAAGCUUUCCCUGGAUGAGCUGCAGGUGCUGGGCGAAUUCUCCACCGUGGUGGAGUAUGUGGCGCAUCGCUUGGGCUUCAGUGUGAGCGAAACGAAGGCAAUUAUGGAUCGACAUCCGCAGGUGCACACAGUGCGCGUUACAAAGAUCAAAGAGGUCUUGGACUAUUUGCUAGACGUUGCGAAAUUCACACGCUUUGAAGUUGCGCAAGUACCGCGGAUUUUGUGCCACAGCCUAAAGACCACGCAGCAGCGCGUGGAGGAGCUGCAGUCGCUCGGCUGUCGACCCUCCACGCUGGUCAUCCUGUGUCGCAGCAGACGGGAAUAUGAAAAGUUCUUGCAGCAAUGGAACAGUCAGCAUGGUGCGCCACAACAGAUCAACAGCAGUUGAGCCUGGAUAAAAGAACUACAAUUAAAAUCUUCAGAAAGCUUCUUAAGGAACCAAGACUGUACUACGAUAAAGUUGAAUAAAAGAAAGUCUAAUUAUGUUGGAGAUCAACAAUGAAUGCCUCAGGAAUUACAUACUUAAUUCUAAUAUACUACGAAUAAAGUUC
rnacentral:misc_RNA from 1 species